GUGUGGUCAGUCUGUCAGGGAGUUGUGUGGUCACCGUGUCGGGGAGAGUUGGCAUAGUCACAUCGUCUGGCCGCCGACCAAAAUCACGUGACUGAUCCUACGUCUGGGAGGCCCAGACAUGCCCACCAUGGAGUUGGCCCUGCUGCUUCUCCUGGCGACUGUAACCUGUACUGCAGCAGAAGGCGCCAUCAAAAUUAACAUCGAUGAAGAGUUGGCCAACAUUGCAGACCUGGAGGAAGAGUUUCACGAAUAUGGAAGAAGAGGUUUUACUGGGGGAGGCCUUUCCGGAGGAGGAUUCUCCGGAUCAGGAAAAGGUAGAGGAAUGUGUAACCAUGGAAACAAUUAUUAACUAGAGUUCGGCGACCUCAUACCUCCAU